CCUACGGGAGGCAGCAGUGAGGAAUAUUGGUCAAUGGGCGUAAGCCUGAACCAGCCAAGUCGCGUGAGGGAUGAAGGUUCUAUGGAUCGUAAACCUCUUUUAUAAGGGAAUAAAGUGCGGGACGUGUCCCGUUUUGUAUGUACCUUUGAAUUAAGAACAGCCUACUCCGUGCCCGCAGCCGCGGUAAUACGGAGGAUUCGGGGGUUAUCCGGGGUUAUUGGGUUUAAAGGGUUCGUAGGCGGUCUUUUAAGUCAGCGGUGAAAGUCUGUGGCGCAACCAUAGCAUUGCCGUUGAAACUGGGAGGCUUGAGUAUGUUUGAGGCAGGCGGAAUGCGUGGUGUAGCGGUGAAAUGCUUAGAUAUCACGCAGAACCCCGAUUGCGAAGGCAGCCUGCCAAGCCAUGACUGACGCUGAUGCACGAAAGCGUGGGGAUCAAACAGGAUUAGAUACCCGAGUAGUC
rnacentral:rRNA from 1 species